GAUGAACGCUGGCGGCGUGCCUAAUACAUGCAAGUAGAACGCUGAAGGAAGGAGCUUGCUCUUUCCGGAUGAGUUGCGAACGGGUGAGUAACGCGUAGGUAACCUGCCUGGUAGCGGGGGAUAACUAUUGGAAACGAUAGCUAAUACCGCAUAACAGUAGAUGUUGCAUGAUAUCUACUUAAAAGGUGCAAUUGCACCACUACCAGAUGGACCUGCGUUGUAUUAGCUAGUUGGUGAGGUAACGGCUCACCAAGGCGACGAUACAUAGCCGACCUGAGAGGGUGAUCGGCCCCACUGGGACUGAGACACGGCCCAGACUCCUACGGGAGGCAGCAGUAGGGAAUCUUCGGCAAUGGACGGAAGUCUGACCGAGCAACGCCGCGUGAGUGAAGAAGGUUUUCGGAUCGUAAAGCUCUGUUGUAAGAGAAGAACGAGUGUGAGAGUGGAAAGUUCACACUGUGACGGUAUCUGACCAGAAAGGGACGGCUAACUACGUG
rnacentral:rRNA from 1 species